rnacentral:rRNA from 1 species
AGGACGAACGCUGGCGGCGCGCCUAACACAUGCAAGUCGAACGAGCGAGAGAGAGCUUGCUUUCUCAAGCGAGUGGCGAACGGGUGAGUAACGCGUGAGGAACCUGCCUCAAAGAGGGGGACAACAGUUGGAAACGACUGCUAAUACCGCAUAAGCCCACGACCCGGCAUCGGGUAGAGGGAAAAGGAGCAAUCCGCUUUGAGAUGGCCUCGCGUCCGAUUAGCUAGUUGGUGAGGUAACGGCCCACCAAGGCGACGAUCGGUAGCCGGACUGAGAGGUUGAACGGCCACAUUGGGACUGAGACACGGCCCAGACUCCUACGGGAGGCAGCAGUGGGGAAUAUUGCACAAUGGGGGAAACCCUGAUGCAGCGACGCCGCGUGGAGGAAGAAGGUCUUCGGAUUGUAAACUCCUGUUGUUGAGGAAGAUAAUGACGGUACUCAACAAGGAAGUGACGGCUAACUACGUGCCAGCAGCCGCGGUAAAACGUAGGUCACAAGCGUUGUCCG